rnacentral:lncRNA from 1 species
GGGGCUGGAACCUCCCUUUUUUGGCCGAUCAAUGCAUUUGAAUAGGGACAUAUAGUUGGAACCCACUCCCUUUUUAAAAUGGCUGGAUCUGCCCCUGUAUAAGAUGUGCAUUUAUAAGCUGUUUCGUAAGAACAAAUGUCCCUACGUAACAAUACAUGAUAGAUUAUGAAAUGCCAGCGUAUUCCCGAUUUUGAUAUUACAUGCCCCGUUUUUUACUCCUUUUACAGAAGCGACAAAUGACAACCUAAGUAGCCAGGUCAAUAAUUUUCUAUAUAUAGAUCGGAAUUCCUUCUAGUUAUUUAAAAGACUCUGAUUAAUAUCGGUUAGGGAAAUUUUUUCCGGAACUUUAUAUAAAUAAAAAAGAAUAGGAUAUAGAUAGCAAUUAUCGUUACUAAGUGAUGAAAACAUCGGGUUAUUCA